AUGGAACAAGGAUGCAAAAAAAGAGAAGCAGAUCAAAUAGUAUAUGCAAGGAAAAGAACCAAGUGUAAUCAACUUCAGCAUGUUGAAGCAUUUCUGAAGCUCACAUCUGAAAUAUCUGAUAAUUGCAAGCAACGUAUACAUAGAAUGGGUUUCAGGGCAUUCCUACAAAUAACUAGCUUGUCCAAUAUAGACUAUGUUUACAUCUGGCUUGCAAAUCAUUUCAACACAACUUCGUGCUCUAUUGAAACACCGAAUGGCUUCAAAUUCCGAAUUACACCUUCAAUUGUUCACAAAUUUUUUGGCAUUCCAAUUGGUGGACAUCCUGUAAUCACAAAACCAUCAGAAGCAACGUAUGAGUUCAUUCAACAACAAUUAGGAACGACAGCACCAACAAUUGAAUACCUUUUCUCAAUUAUGAAUGAUGAUCUCCCUGAAGAAAAAUACUGCAAAAUCUUCAUUCUCAUCCUCCUGUCAUUGUUUGUUGCACCUAAUUCAAGUGGAGUUGCUAGCAAAUUUGUGUACAGUGCAAUAGUUGACAUUGACAGAAUUUCUCAGUAUGAUUGGUGUUUGCUUUGUCUGAGCUACAUGGUUUAUUCAAUUAAGAAAACAAGGCUGAAGAACAUAGUGAACAAAGAAAUCAUUCCUGGUGGAAGCAAGUUACUUAUGCUGAUAUCUUACUUUGAGUUCCUGAUAAUAUCUGAAAUCAAGAUGCCGACUAUAGAACCAAGACUACCAUUAUGGACAGCAAACAUGCUAAAUUCAUAUAUGGCACUUGAUGUUGUGCAUGGGAAAAGAAAUGAGUAUGGCAGACUACCGUCUGUCAACAUAACAAGUACAAAUCUCACUCUCUCUUUCUGUGGUGGUAAUCUACCAUCUUUUGAACAACUUGCUUGCUCGGAGCUUUUUGUCAAGAGAUCAAUUCCAAAAGUAACACCCACCAUUGAUGCUUCUGCACUGUUACAUCAAUUCUUUUCUGAAACAAAAUCCCCAAAGAGAAGAGUACAAAAAACAAAGUUCUGCUUUCCACUAUUCAGAUUCUUAUUACCAGGAGAGCGCUUGGAAGAUUUUGUUAACCCUGAACUAAAUAAAGGUUGGUUGCCUCCUGAAAUCACAUAUCCAGUUGACGAGUCUCUCAACAAUACGCUGCAUGGCAAUUCAAAUGGAGAAGCUGGUUCAAGCACUUAG
rnacentral:rRNA from 1 species